GGCUUAUGCCUGUAGUCCCUGCACUUUGAAAGGCUGAGGCAGGAGCACCACUUGAAGCCAUGAGGAGUUUGAGACCAGCCUGGACAACAAAGUGAGACUCCAUCUCUCCAAAAAAAAUAAAAAAAAGCCAGGCAUUGUUGCACAUAGCUGUAGUUCCAGCAGCUACUAUUCAGGAGGCUGAGGUGGAAGGAUGGCUUGAGCUCAGGAGUUCAAAGCUGCAGUGAGCUCUGAUUGUGCCACUGCACUCCAGCCUGAGACAGAGUAAAACUAUGUCUCUAAAAAUCAAAAAACUCAAACAAACAAAGAAAAAUAUCUUAAAGCUCCAACUCGAUGGCUGACAAGGACUGCAGAACAUCUACUCAAGUCAAGGGGAAAAUAAGAAUUAUUUUCUUCUUGCAAACAAAACAGAAUUCCCAAGGCCAUUUAAAAUGUCUGUUUGCCUAUAUGCCUUAUUUUAGCCUGAAUUUUCCUUUGCAUAAUUUAGUCCUAAGAAGUUUCAUGUCAUUCUAGAACUAACAAUAAUUUAUCUUAGUCUAUUAAACAGCUAGCAAUCUUCAACCAAGAACAAGUUGUAGCUGAGGUCAAAAGUAGAAACACUAACUUUCUCUGCAGCAUUUGUUGAUCUAACCCCAGGGCAGGAAGUCUAAACUCUGAGGAGAGGGUUCCCUGUUAAAGAGCUUAAUAAUAUCUUUGUCACCACAAAGUCUUGCCCCCUAGAACUAUGGAGAUUGGAAGAGAUGACUGAAAGUUAAUUCAGCAAGAAGAUAUUUUGGGCUCAAGAAUGGAAGUACAUACUGCUUAAGGGGCCUUUAAGACUCUCAUGGCCUGGAGAAGAUCCUGAAACAAGGGAGGAUGAGCAGUGAUAUCUACCAAAUAUACCAAAAACAAGGAGAUGCCUGGAAUUUUCUUGCCAGAUUCUCCCUAAAUGAAGACUCCUCUGGCUCACCUUCCUGUGGUCACCCUGAGCAAGGCUCUGUUGCUGGUUUGCAGUCCCAGAGUCCCUCAUGCAGGCGGGCAUCCUCUAAGGGCAAGUUUUCACUGACAUCACCCUAACUCCCUGGAGUGGGGGACUUGAACAAGUGAAGUCACCUAUUGAGAGAAACCCUGGAAGUUUAGCGUCUCUUGUCCCGCAGCGAUGGAGUACAAGAACUGAGACCCACGUCAAAUGCUGUGAUUCCCAGAGCUGGUGCCCUGUGCAGGACUAGUUCCCAAGGAGAAGGGCCAGAGGGCUUUGGGCGCUCCUCCCUGCCCCCCAUUCUGACUCAUUGUGGGACCGAGCUGAGUUUAGCACUUCAUUUCCCUUGUUCGGGCCAGGGCGAUUUGAAUGCACCUGUCUCUCUGCUGUCCCUGCGGCCUGGUGAGGAUGGCCGUUGUGAGGGGUAGGGAGUACUUCCUAAUUGUGUUCCUGUGGUCUAGGUCCCACGUGAAGCCUGUUGGCGGUCACACUCAAAUGAGGUGGGGGCAGCCUGACCACUCAGUCACACUUGGAGGAUGGGUUGGCUAGUUCUUCUCACCCUCUGGUCUGGUUUUGAAGUUGCAAAUUUCUUAAGUUGCUCUUAAGAAAGGUGUGGGCCAGGGCUGGCGGUGGUGAAGUGGAACUUCAUCUUCAGAGAGCUGUCAGGUCUCAGCCACCGUGCUCCGUAUAUUCCUCCUGUGCAUUCUAUUAGCUCCUGAGCUCCCAACCUUCUCCUUUCCACAAAAUUAGACACAUCUGAAAUACAGAGCAAAUAGUCUCA
ensembl:lncRNA